UGCAGAAUCCCGUGAACCAUCGAGUCUUUGAACGCAAGUUGCGCCCAAGGGACCCUCCCGAGGGCACGCCUGCCUCAUGGGCGUUAGAAGCCCAUCCACGCUCGGUUGCCUAACUAACGGCAAAGACGCGGAUGUUGGCCCUCCGAACCGCGAGGCGCGGUGGGCCUAAGUGUGCGGCCGUCGUACGUGGCCGGGAGCGGCGAGUGGUGGGCUACUGCGCACGUCACCCCGAGCCCCGUAACGACACAGGGCCUUGUUGGAACCCCUAACGAGGAGCAUCCCGUCGCGGCUUGUGCUGCGCGGGGCCUUCGGACCGAUACCCCAGGUCAGGCGGGGCUACCCGCCGAGUUUAAGCAUAUAAAUAAGCGGAGGAGAAGAAACUUACAAGGAUUCCCCUAGUAACGGCGAGCGAACCGGGAGAUGCCCAGCCUUAGAAUCGCGGCGGCGCUGCUGUCCGA
rnacentral:rRNA from 1 species